UACGAAGGGGGCUAGCGUUGUCCGGAAUCACUGGGCGUAAAGGGCGCGUAGGCGGGUCUUUAAGUCAGGGGUGAAAUCCUGGAGCUCAACUCCAGAACUGCCUUUGAUACUGGCGACCUUGAGUCCGGGAGAGGUGAGUGGAACUGCGAGUGUAGAGGUGAAAUUCGUAGAUAUUCGCAAGAACACCAGUGGCGAAGGCGGCUCACUGGCCCGGUACUGACGCUGAGGUGCGAAAGCGUGGGGAGCAAACAGG
rnacentral:rRNA from 1 species